UACAGCCUCUGCCCAAGGAGCCAUCCUAAAGGACUUCAGAUUGCCGUGAGGAGGUUUGCUGACAUUCACAGGAGCGACGCCAAACAGGAAUCAUCCAUCAGCCCCCACACAUUUGUGUCCAUCCUCUCAUUUCGGAGCUAAAGAUAUCAGCUGCCCCUCUCCCCGUCACCCUCCAACAGGAAAUGGAAUCCGUGCGCCAUGGUUGCAGUCAGUCAAGCAUCUCUACAGUAACACCCAGGUCAUCGUCUCUCAGCUGGGGACAUUUUCUGUCAAACCUCGACAUAAUCGAACUGUUUAAGUUUUGAUCUCGAAAUACAUUAGCUAGGAGAACAUUUCACUCGCUUUCCAUCCAGUUAAACCGUCAGAGGAGACCGUCCGCGCACCUUUCAGACUAAAAUUACGUAAGUUCCUCGCAAAGAGCGGCGAGGCUGUUGCGUAACAAGCAUCUCGAAGGACCCCAACUGCGUCUUUCGGAGCAAGGACAUGUCGUCGAUGAAAGGCCAAGGAUGUGCAGAGACCUUUAAACGAACCGCAACGUUUUCUUAUGGAACUGGGAAGCAGCAGAUGACUGACGUGUCCUGUAGAUUUGACCUCACGCGGUUUGACCAUAUGGAUUGUGUGCUGUCUGAGAAUGGCAAUGCACUGAUGCCGUCAACUCUAAUCAUGGCUGAUUUAAAGAUUAGCAAACAAUGUGUGGAUGUCAUCUGUCCCUUCCUCUCUGGGGCGUCUCUUUCACUCUCUGCUUUAAAUGUCUGUCUCUAAUGGAUAUAUCAUUUCUAUCGAUACUUUAUUUUGACUGUAAAUUGACACUUGCGAUGGAGUGUUGACCUAGAUAGGAAAUAAAGGGUGUGUCCAUGUAAAUGUGCACAAUGCUUUGGGGACUCUCUCUAUAUCUGGGGGCCGUGCUGAUUUGCUGCUUAAAGUCGAUGUGAAAUCAUAAUGCAUAUUUAGUUUGGUAAUAAAUUGUACUGGUUUAUUUGUGAA